CCAGCUCCAAUAGCGUAUAUUUAAGUUGUUGCAGUUAAAAAGCUCGUAGUUGGAUUUCGGGUGGCUCUCUGCGGUCCGCCUUCGGGUGUGUACUGCUGUCGGCCACCUUUCUGUCGGGGACGGGCUCCUGGGCUUAAUUGUCCGGGACUCGGAGUCGGCGAGGUUACUUUGAGUAAAUUAGAGUGUUCAAAGCAAGCCUGAGCUCUGAAUACAUUAGCAUGGAAUAACGCGAUAGGACUCUGGCCUAUCUUGUUGGUCUGUAGGACCGGAGUAAUGAUUAAGAGGGACAGUCGGGGGCUUCCGUAUUUCAUUGUCAGAGGUGAAAUUCUUGGAUUUAUGAAAGACGAACAUCUGCGAAAGCGCUAGCCAAGUAUGUCUUCA
rnacentral:rRNA from 1 species